rnacentral:lncRNA from 1 species
GUAGGGCCGGCAGUGUAGAUUUCCCCAGGGGCGGGGGUGGGAUCUGAGCAAUCACUCGCCCUCCCCCCUCCCAGGGGCGGGGAGGGGGUGAUUUAGGGAGGACUCCACGGGGCCCAAAGGUUCGCACCGCCCCGCCGCGGCCCAGCCUGCAGAAGCCCCCCGCUGCCGCGGCGCCCCCGCUCCCCGCCCCGCGAGGCGCGCGCAGCUGCGCCCGGGCCUGUCCUCGCUUCACCCCCACUCUGCCCCUUCGGUAUUUCUCAAUGACCGGCGCUCCGAGGACACUUCCGACGCGGAGGGAGGGGGUGUCAUUAGCGCUCGGUUAUCAGUUCCUUCCGGUCUCCCCGAGCUCAACCCUGCGCGCGGCCGGGCCGCGCCUCGGGCGAUCUGGUGCCUUUAUUAUGAUGUUUAAGUAAGCAGUCGUGUGUGCCAAGUGAGUUUGUAGCCCAGCUGUCUCCCCCAAGCCCCGCUGGCAGGAAUGGAAACCCAAGCUCUCUCGUAAUGCAGGGGAUGAUGCAAACUUAGAAACUGACCCGGCGCCCGGGAAUGAGGCCCCCCCGCCCCGGGCGUGCGGCGGCCCAGUCGGGGCAUGAAUGGCUGGAGCCCGAUUGCAUAAUCCGCGCGGUAUAAAUAGCCGGCGGGCGGGCCGCUGACGCGCUCGGUUGUGCCGUUAUCGUGCAAUGCUUCAUCCCCGGUGCCGUUCAAUCCCAGGUCGUUUUCCCUUUCAGCUGCAAUGCCGGGAUUUUAAAUAGCAGAGAUGAAAGGCCCCUGCCCCCGCCUCCCUCCUCCCCUGAGUUCAUGUAUUAUGAAUGAAACGGCAGCCUCGCUGCUUCCUGAGGUGCUCCACUUCAGGUUGGAGUGCAGUGGUGCUGUGUCUGGAGUUUGUUCCUGCCGUUGGGUUUGUGGUCUUGCUGACUUCAAGAAUGAAGCCACGGACCUUCACGAGAAAUAUUACGUUGUAUGGAUGUACCACUGUUUGUUUAUCCAUUCUUCAGGUGAAGGACAUGUGGGUUGUGCCCAGCGCGGGCUGAAUAAAGUCCAUCGCCUUGGCUUAGUGCAUGUCACCAAAAAUUCUCCAGGAAUUUCAUAGUUUGGACCUUGGUGGCAUGGCUGGCCCUGGAUUAUCCAUGCAGGGAGGCCUGAUCCUGUGACAGCUGGCUGCAGCAGGGGGCUGCCCAUCUUCUGUGCUUUGUGGUACAUAUCUGUGUCACCAAAGUAGCGGCCUCGGUACAGCAAGCCUUUCAUCUGCUGCUUCUCCGUCCAGCAGUUGUUCCAGAGGUUGGCGAUAUAAUCAUCUUUCACAUUCGGUUUGACUGUUUGGAGGCUGGAGCCUGUGUACUCCUCGGAGAAAAUGCCUGCCACAUAGUAGAUGACACUCAGGUGGUCAGUGACUCGCCUGUGAUGUGGCCCACAAACAGUCUUGGGCUCAGACUGUAGGGUGGACUGGAGACCAUGAGCUGGCUGAGAGCUGACAUGAGGAUGAGGAUGGGUAUCAGCUGCACGAACACCCGCAAGCUGCCGUCACUCCGCUUCUCCCUGCAGCCCUGCCUUUGCUGUCCUCCAGGCUUUUAGGCUCUGGUGUGCAACCCCUGCUGUGGUCAUUUGAGAGGAGAUAAAAGGAAUCUUCUGAGAGCCAGAAGUUCUGUCUUCAGCACCAGCUGGGAGACCCUCUGUCAAGAUGAGGGUUCUAUUGAUCCAUGCAACUGCCGCCAACCAGAAUUUUAGGGUUUUGCCCCAAUAG